GCGGGGGUAGCCAAGCGGUCAACGGCGGCGGAUUCAAGUCCCGCUCUCGUAGGAGUUCAAGGGUUCGAAUCCCUUCCCCCGCA
rnacentral:tRNA from 1 species